rnacentral:rRNA from 1 species
GGGUUGUGAGGUUAAGCGACUAAGCGUACACGGUGGAUGCCCUGGCAGUCAGAGGCGAUGAAGGACGUGCUAAUCUGCGAUAAGCGUCGGUAAGGUGAUAUGAACCGUUAUAACCGGCGAUUUCCGAAUGGGGAAACCCAGUGUGUUUCGACACACUAUCAUUAACUGAAUCCAUAGGUUAAUGAGGCGAACCGGGGGAACUGAAACAUCUAAGUACCCCGAGGAAAAGAAAUCAACCGAGAUUCCCCCAGUAGCGGCGAGCGAACGGGGAGCAGCCCAGAGCCUGAAUCAGUGUGUGUGUUAGUGGAAGCGUCUGGAAAGGCGCGCGAUACAGGGUGACAGCCCCGUACACAAAAAUGCACAUGCUGUGAGCUCGAUGAGUAGGGCGGGACACGUGGUAUCCUGUCUGAAUAUGGGGGGACCAUCCUCCAAGGCUAAAUACUCCUGACUGACCGAUAGUGAACCAGUACCGUGAGGGAAAGGCGAAAAGAACCCCGGCGAGGGGAGUGAAAAAGAACCUGAAACCGUGUACGUACAAGCAGUGGGAGCACGCUUAGGCGUGUGACUGCGUACCUUUUGUAUAAUGGGUCAGCGACUUAUAUUCUGUAGCAAGGUUAACCGAAUAGGGGAGCCGAAGGGAAACCGAGUCUUAACUGGGCGUUAAGUUGCAGGGUAUAGACCCGAAACCCGGUGAUCUAGCCAUGGGCAGGUUGAAGGUUGGGUAACACUAACUGGAGGACCGAACCGACUAAUGUUGAAAAAUUAGCGGAUGACUUGUGGCUGGGGGUGAAAGGCCAAUCAAACCGGGAGAUAGCUGGUUCUCCCCGAAAGCUAUUUAGGUAGCGCCUCGUGAAUUCAUCUCCGGGGGUAGAGCACUGUUUCGGCAAGGGGGUCAUCCCGACUUACCAACCCGAUGCAAACUGCGAAUACCGGAGAAUGUUAUCACGGGAGACACACGGCGGGUGCUAACGUCCGUCGUGAAGAGGGAAACAACCCAGACCGCCAGCUAAGGUCCCAAAGUCAUGGUUAAGUGGGAAACGAUGUGGGAAGGCCCAGACAGCCAGGAUGUUGGCUUAGAAGCAGCCAUCAUUUAAAGAAAGCGUAAUAGCUCACUGGUCGAGUCGGCCUGCGCGGAAGAUGUAACGGGGCUAAACCAUGCACCGAAGCUGCGGCAGCGACGCUUAUGCGUUGUUGGGUAGGGGAGCGUUCUGUAAGCCUGCGAAGGUGUGCUGUGAGGCAUGCUGGAGGUAUCAGAAGUGCGAAUGCUGACAUAAGUAACGAUAAAGCGGGUGAAAAGCCCGCUCGCCGGAAGACCAAGGGUUCCUGUCCAACGUUAAUCGGGGCAGGGUGAGUCGACCCCUAAGGCGAGGCCGAAAGGCGUAGUCGAUGGGAAACAGGUUAAUAUUCCUGUACUUGGUGUUACUGCGAAGGGGGGACGGAGAAGGCUAUGUUGGCCGGGCGACGGUUGUCCCGGUUUAAGCGUGUAGGCUGGUUUUCCAGGCAAAUCCGGAAAAUCAAGGCUGAGGCGUGAUGACGAGGCACUACGGUGCUGAAGCAACAAAUGCCCUGCUUCCAGGAAAAGCCUCUAAGCAUCAGGUAACAUCAAAUCGUACCCCAAACCGACACAGGUGGUCAGGUAGAGAAUACCAAGGCGCUUGAGAGAACUCGGGUGAAGGAACUAGGCAAAAUGGUGCCGUAACUUCGGGAGAAGGCACGCUGAUAUGUAGGUGAAGUCCCUCGCGGAUGGAGCUGAAAUCAGUCGAAGAUACCAGCUGGCUGCAACUGUUUAUUAAAAACACAGCACUGUGCAAACACGAAAGUGGACGUAUACGGUGUGACGCCUGCCCGGUGCCGGAAGGUUAAUUGAUGGGGUUAGCCGCAAGGCGAAGCUCUUGAUCGAAGCCCCGGUAAACGGCGGCCGUAACUAUAACGGUCCUAAGGUAGCGAAAUUCCUUGUCGGGUAAGUUCCGACCUGCACGAAUGGCGUAAUGAUGGCCAGGCUGUCUCCACCCGAGACUCAGUGAAAUUGAACUCGCUGUGAAGAUGCAGUGUACCCGCGGCAAGACGGAAAGACCCCGUGAACCUUUACUAUAGCUUGACACUGAACAUUGAGCCUUGAUGUGUAGGAUAGGUGGGAGGCUUAGAAGUGUGGACGCCAGUCUGCAUGGAGCCGACCUUGAAAUACCACCCUUUAAUGUUUGAUGUUCUAACGUUGACCCGUAAUCCGGGUUGCGGACAGUGUCUGGUGGGUAGUUUGACUGGGGCGGUCUCCUCCUAAAGAGUAACGGAGGAGCACGAAGGUUGGCUAAUCCUGGUCGGACAUCAGGAGGUUAGUGCAAUGGCAUAAGCCAGCUUGACUGCGAGCGUGACGGCGCGAGCAGGUGCGAAAGCAGGUCAUAGUGAUCCGGUGGUUCUGAAUGGAAGGGCCAUCGCUCAACGGAUAAAAGGUACUCCGGGGAUAACAGGCUGAUACCGCCCAAGAGUUCAUAUCGACGGCGGUGUUUGGCACCUCGAUGUCGGCUCAUCACAUCCUGGGGCUGAAGUAGGUCCCAAGGGUAUGGCUGUUCGCCAUUUAAAGUGGUACGCGAGCUGGGUUUAGAACGUCGUGAGACAGUUCGGUCCCUAUCUGCCGUGGGCGCUGGAGAACUGAGGGGGGCUGCUCCUAGUACGAGAGGACCGGAGUGGACGCAUCACUGGUGUUCGGGUUGUCAUGCCAAUGGCACUGCCCGGUAGCUAAAUGCGGAAGAGAUAAGUGCUGAAAGCAUCUAAGCACGAAACUUGCCCCGAGAUGAGUUCUCCCUGACUCCUUGAGAGUCCUGAAGGAACGUUGAAGACGACGACGUUGAUAGGCCGGGUGUGUAAGCGCAGCGAUGCGUUGAGCUAACCGGUACUAAUGAACCGUGAGGCUUAACCUUACAACGCCGAAGGUGUUU